ensembl:lncRNA
GUGGUAGGGAGGAAGCUAUUUAAAAAAAAUAAAAAACAGUUCCAAGUUGCAGCCAAUAACAACCCACGUUAUGGAAGAUUCUUUGAAAGAUGAUAAAGGUAAGGGGAAAUAAAGUUUUGGAAAAGAAAUGCAAGCAGCAUUUUAAAACUUUAUUUUAAAAUGUUAUUUUCUCAGGAUAUGGAGAAGUGAGACCCACAGACAAAAAUUACUAAGUAUGAACGUGGCAAUAAAAAUAUUUCAGUUAACUCAACAAACCUGAUAAACAUAUCUUGGCUCUUCUUUAAGCAGCAGGCUCAGUCACAUUUUCUGAUACCUAAGGCCUCAUUUUAUCAGGCCUUUCUGAAGUCUUUUGGAGUUCCUCUGACUGCUUAUGCCGGUCGAAUAUGGAGAAACACCAAGGGUAGAGAUCCAGUUCCAAUCACAUACAGUAGGUGUAGAUCAGCACAUGAGCAGUUAAGAGCAUGCUUGGGACCUCAGGCUUCUAAGUGAGUUGUUUUGUUGCUUGUUGUAGAUGAGCGGCCAAUCUUUGUUGAAUAACAGAGUUGACAACACAGAUUAAGACUCUAUCUUUGAGAACCUACAAUGUGUGUUUUGCAUUAUGUAUACACACACUGUGUCACUGAAACAGUACUUUGACAUGGUACUAAUUAUUAUCCCCUUUAGUCGAUGAAGAAUCUAAGCCUGAAAGCAGUUAAAUAUUUAUUCAAGUUCCCAUAGCCAGUAAAUGCCUGAGUAGGGCUGGUAUCCAGCCAGAGUCCACAGACUUCCACUGCCUAACACCGAGUGAUCAUGUCCACUCCUAAAAAUUGUAAGAGAAAGUGUAGUUUCUGCAUGGACAUCAUGGUGACGCCUCAGAAUUUAAUAGUGCUCUACACCAGGAUAUACAUGGUACGGGUAAACACUGGGAUUCACUGAAGAGUUAUACCAGCAUUUCCCAAAUUCUCUUCUGGGGAAUACAAUAUCUUCCCCCUUGGGAGUUAUGUGAAAUAAAUUUGUUCAAAGAAGUUUGGAAAAAGGCCAUACUUUACAUCCCUACUGGAGUUUCAUGUUGGCCUAGUAAAAUUUCUAUGAAGCACCAAGUUAAUCCACAAUAGAUGUGUAUGUCUUGCUCAUAUGAAGCCUGCAAAUGACCUUAUUCAUCAUCUUAUGGUUCCAUUCCAAGCAAUAAUUCUCCUAUACAGUGGCUCCAUCUUUUCAAACAUGUGACUUUCAACUUGGCCACGUUCACCUGCAUGAAGUUGGCAAGAAAGGAAAGAGUAUGGGAGUUGUUACAAGGUGCUUGGUAGCCCAGAAGUGGAAGUGAUGCAGUCACUCCUGGUCAAAUUUCACCAGUUGGAACUCAGCCAUCCAGCAACAUCCACUUGCAAGCAGG